AUGCCGGAACCUCUGUUUCCAAAUUUUCUCGAGGCGCACGACCUUGCGCAUUGCGACGGGCUGGUGCUCGUGGGAACCCGGUCCGCAGCGUGGGUGCUCAACCCAGUGAUGCGCCGCGUCGUGGAAUUACCCUGGGGCCGCCUUGGCGAUUCAACGUCCUUCAGCUACCUCGAGGCGUUCGGUCUCGGGCGCGACCCUCGCUCCGACGCCUACAAGGUCGUUCGUUUCUUCACGCCUCCGCGUGUAGAGGUGUUGACGAUUGGAAGCUCAGACCGGUGCUGGCACGAGACCGUGUCAAAACCCCCGUGGUUUCACGUCAAGAGGCGGCCGGCGGCGAUCUGCUUCAAGGGGUCCUUGAUCUGUACCGUUGAUCAAAAGGAUCGUAAUGGUCAAUUGGGUUUUCUGUGGUUCAGGUUGGAUGAAGAAACAUUCAGCCUCAUUCCACCACCUCCUUGCUGGUCAUGGGACGACUACGAGGUAUCCACUUUAUCUGAGUUGAGGCAAGUGCUGUGCUUGACCACAAGUGUAGGGUUAAUGAAUCGAUCCCUUGACAUGUGGAUAUGCACCGACUUGGACCUUCCACAAUGGGAGAAGUGCUACAACAUCCUCUCUGACUGGACCCAACCUCUUCAUCCGGUGGCUAUGUUGGGUAAUGGAGUACUCGUGUGCCGAUCCUCUGGUAAUUAUCUGCACCGCUGCACUUUUCAACCUGGAAAAGGUGUCACGGUCAACCAUACAAUUUGUAUGAAAGACCUAAGAUAUGACAACGUCGACGAAGGCACGCUUGUUGAAUAUCCAAGCCGAACUGCCACAUACUUUGAUGCAAUCCCCUACGUCCCAAGCUUCGUCUUGAUCUAG
rnacentral:rRNA from 1 species